GGCCGGAUAAGGCGCUCACGCCGCAUCCGGCAUCACUGCUGACAGCCUGAUGCGACGCUGACGCGUCUUAUCAGGCC
rnacentral:ncRNA from 1 species